rnacentral:rRNA from 1 species
AAAUAAGCAAUUAAGGGCACACGGUGGAUGCCUAGGCAUGCAGAGGCGAAGAAGGACGUGUAAAGCUGCGAUAAGCUGCGGGGAGUUGCAAAAGAACUGUGAUCCGCGGAUUUCCGAAUGGGGCAACCCACUCUAAUUUAUUAGGG